rnacentral:rRNA from 1 species
CCUACGGGCGGCAGCAGUGAGGAAUAUUGGUCAAUGGGCUUACGCCUGAACCAGCCAAGUCGCGUGAGGGAAGACUGCCCUAUGGGUUGUAAACCUCUUUUGUCAGGGAGCAACGCCGGCUACGUGUAGACGGACUGCGAGUACCUGAAGAAAAAGCAUCGGCUAACUCCGUGCCAGCAGCCGCGGUAAUACGGAGGAUGCGAGCGUUAUCGGGAUUUAUUGGGUGUAAAGGGUGCGUAGGCGGAAUGCCAAGUCAGCGGGAAAAUCGCGGGGCUCAACCUUGCUUCGCAGUUGAAACUGGCGUUCUUGAGGGGGCGAGAAGUAUGCGGAAUGCGUGGUGUAGCGGUGAAAUGCAUAGAUAUCACGCAGAACUCCGAUUGCGAAGGCAGCAUACCGGCGCCCAACUGACGCUGAAGCACGAAAGCGUGGGUAUCGAACAGGAUUAGAUACCCCUGUAGUC